GGUGCGGUUAAGAAGGUGACGCUAAAAGCAAGGACCGCAGAUCGGCAAGUGUCUGAUGGGGCGGUAAAAGCUUGAUGUGAAAAAAUACUGUUUGGCUCAGCUGCAGGCCACUGCUUCUUCAUCAAGAGCGGGGGAUCUCUGCGUGUACAUCUGAUCACAUGUGUACAGGAAAGAAAUAAAGAGCAAGUGUUCAUCAUCCAGUCGUUAAAGCAUCAGGGACAAAUAUCACCAUCAAGGAUUGAAAAGACUGGCGACACCCCUUCCUCUCGAGUAAGCAAAUAAAUUCGAGGAUACUUUUUUUUCUACUAAAAAAGGAUUUAUUGGCAGGAAAAAUUAUUAACUACAGGAUAAAUUAAUUGAAAUCACACUCGAUUUAUAAUUAGACUAUUUUACCCAUCGUUAUUUAAAAUCACGUGCAUUGUGUUUUUUAGAGGUUCCAGCUUUUUGGGUAACGCUUGUGAUGUCCAUGGAA